rnacentral:tRNA from 1 species
GGCUAGAUUGCGGAGUGGCCCCGCGAAAAAUUGCAAAUUUUUUAACAUUGGUUCGAAUCCAAUUCUAGCUU